UUCUAGCCCAGAUUGAAGAGGAAAGCCCGUAGCAAAAAAAAAUGCAUUUCUUGUUGAAAAAAAGCGACUGAAAGAAGCUCUUUAUGCAACAUUAGAAAUGCAUUUUUUUUGUGAGGACUUGAAACGAAAAGCUGGAAAUAGC
rnacentral:sRNA from 1 species